CUUCUAAAGCCGUUCAAUACCAAACGACUCUCUUGAGGCAAAGAGGAGGUUCGAGAGACCCUCAAUCUUGUUCUUCCUCGGUAUUCUUCGGACACAGAUCCACGUGAAGACCCCGACGGGCAAGACCGUCAUCGUUGAAGUGGAGAGCUCGGAGACCGUCCACAACGUGAAGGUCAAAAUACAGGACGAGCAGGCAUUCCCAUGGAUCAGCAGAAGCUGAUCUUCGUGGCAAGGAGCUCAAGAACGAUGUCUGGAUGCUCACCGAGUAUGACGUUCUCAGCGAGUCCGUGCUCUACCUCAAUCUUUGUCAAAAGGCCAAGAAAACAGGUAUGUGGCGCUUUCUUGCUUUGGCGCGGCGGCUUCUGAGGUGAAUAUUUCACAGUCUAUGUAAUUGUGUGUUGAUGAGUUAUUAUGGAUGUGGUGAAGAGAAUCAAUUGAUCUCGCACAUCAUGAAAUAAGCUUAUCCUGAGAGUUUCUCAAUUGAAGAGGACGUGGACGACCUUGAUCCUUGAUAUUCUGCACAGCAAACCAAAUCUAAGACCAAUUGUGUUUCUUGCUAGAUGUAUCUGCAGAUGAGGAUGAUACGGACAUGGAAUCCAAGAUCUGAUGAAAGAUGUUAGUACUACUUAGUACUGAUAUUAUAACUCAAACUUGCGCUAGGUUGGAUGCAAGAUUUCACUAUACACGCGUGCUUCAAGACUUUUAUUUUGGAAGGCCUCACAUGACUGGAGUUAACGAGUUCCGUCGAACCAUGAAGCCUUCAACGGGGAAGGCCAUUUAUGCUCCUGAUGCUUAAAUUGGCAUAGGGGCUUUGUUUACUUCAUAUGGAAAAUAAGAAACAUGAAACUCCUCAACGAAAAUCAUUUGAUGUGGUGAAAAUCAACAAGAAGAAUGGUUUUUCCAAGAGAUAAUUCUUGUCACCUCAUGGUCUAUCUGCAACCAUACAGCCACUAUGAAAGAUGUCGACAGCCGUUGAUUUUGAUGUGCACGGUUGAAGAGGUAGAAGUCAAAUUUGUCAGCAAUAAUUCAACAAUAUGGACUAGUUCAAAUUAGAUUUCUCCCUUCAGUUUGCUUUCAGUUGGUCCUCGCGAUUUUCAGCCGAUUAUUGCACAAUGUCAGCCAAUAGUCUCCUCUUCUAUGAAUGACUUAUUGACAACAGCUGUCACGGAGGAUGAGAUCAAGGCAGCCACCUUUCAGCUCAGACGCACAAAAGCACCCGAACCUGACGGUCUGAAUGGUCUUUUUUACCAAACUUAUUGGAACACUUUGUGUGUUGAUUUUAUCCCCCUUAUACAACAGUUUUUUUUUU